UACGUAGGUGGCAAGCGUUGUCCGGAAUUAUUGGGCGUAAAGCGCGCGCAGGCGGCCUCUUAAGUCUGAUGUGAAAGCCCCCGGCUCAACCGGGGAGGGCCAUUGGAAACUGGGAGGCUUGAGUAUAGGAGAGAAGAGUGGAAUUCCACGUGUAGCGGUGAAAUGCGUAGAGAUGUGGAGGAACACCAGUGGCGAAGGCGACUCUUUGGCCUAUAACUGACGCUGGAGGCGCGAAAGCGUGGGGAGCAAACAGG
rnacentral:rRNA from 1 species